UACAGAGGGUGCAAGCGUUAAUCGGAAUUACUGGGCGUAAAGCGUGCGUAGACGGUUAUGUAAGUCGGGUGUGAAAGCCCCGGGCUCAACCUGGGAAUGCCAUUCGAGACUGCAUAGCUAGGGUGCGGAAGAGGGAAGCGGAAUUUCCGGUGUAGCGGUGAAAUGCGUAGAGUAUCAGGAGGAACACCGGUGGCGAAGGCGGGUCUCUGGGCAACACGUGACGUGGAGGAGCGAAAGCGUGGGGAGCGAACAG
rnacentral:rRNA from 1 species